GUCAGGAGGGCAACAUACAGCUGUAUUUAAUGGAUGAGUUAUCACUUCGCUCUAUGGUUGCUGGUGCUGAGAAAUGCCUCGAUGACAUUUUCAUUGUUAAAAAUGGACUAUGGAAACAAGAUCAGUCAACAUGUGUGAGUGCACCUUCACCAAUCCCACAAAUGCCUCUGCUCUCACGAAUUUAUUACCCUUGGGAGAGCCUCAGCAAGACAGUACUUGAUGCAUUGGAAGCAGACAAUGUUCUGCUUCCCUCUCAACGACAGGAAGUGGCACACAUGGCAGUGUCAUGGCCCAGCACAUCCAUUGAAGGCACCUGGUUGGUAUCAUUGAGAACGAAGGGAGCCAGCAGGCAUAAAAAAAUCAAGAGGGCUACAUACAUAAAUGCGUGAGGCAAUGAGGGCCGCAGAUGAAUAUAGCAAGAAGUGGGAACAUCUCAUGUGAUACAAAUCGGUCAAAUGUU